AAAAUAUAAGAGAGAAAAAAAAAGAAAAAAACAGGGAAAAAAAAAGGAAAAAAAACGAAAAAAAAAUCGGAGGAGCCUGCCGGAGAUGAGGCCAUUACGGCUCGCCUUCAGGUGUCCUCCUCGGGAUAGGGUCAUUUAAAGAACGAGGGUCAGCACGACGUAAAAAAAAAGAAAAAAAGGGAAAAAAAC